AAGAUUUGUUUUCUAAACAUGAACUAAACAUAUCAAGAUUGCGUGGUUAGGGAUAUGAUGGAGCUAGUAACAUGCGAGCAUUAUAAACAUAAUUGUAGCAUCAUGUAAAAGGAUGGAGGUGAUUAGAGAAAAAUAAUAUGCUAGAAUUAUUGAAGGACUUGAAAAUGGAGAAAUUUCUAGUGGACGAGGCUUGAAUCAAGAAACUUCCCUUAGAAGUUCUUAAUGUGCUUGAGAUUAUAAGGGAGGAUAGGAU